GCCUAAUCCAAAAGGGUGGUGGUUCAAAUCUUGCUUGAUCGAAGUUAAAAAUGGUUCUAUUCCUCUAUCUCCCAACUUGAAGACUCUCAUAUCAUGACCUUUGUAAUAGAUAUCAUUGUUCAAUUUUUUUUUAUCGGUAAAUGUAAAAAUUCAUUGAUCAAAAUUUCAAUACAAGUACUCCGGGCAUUCCCGAGCUUACAUUAUUCAACAAUGUACAUCUUGAGUAUCAAUCUAUAUGCCCAGUGCUAAAGAUUCAUAAUGAUGCAAAACAUAGGGAUACAAAGUAAACAUGACUUUGUAGACAUAUGUUUUAAUGUGUCUGAUGAUGCUAUCCGGUUGCUACCUGAGAUCUUUGAAGAGUAGUAUGUUUCUGGCUGUCCAGAUAUGAUAAACAGUGCUUGCAAGCACUACUUUCUUGGCUUUAGAUUGCCAAGAUGUUCCUUGUCCCUCCUUCUUGAUCCAGUUUCUAAAACAAAGGCAACAAGGUAUCUUCUGGUCGUCCCUUCGAUGCUUAAGUUAGAAAGGGAAUUAUAUGCGUCAGAUUAUAAACUGGAAAAUAA
rnacentral:lncRNA from 1 species